UGCUGAAAGUUUGGUUUACACUCUGAAAUGUAUGAUACUGAUAAUAACAUUUUUCAGGGUGAGCCAGGUACCAAAGGUUCAUCAGGCAGGCCUGGACAGUUCGGACAAGGGGGCAACACUGGGGCAGUAGGGGACAAAGGCCAAAAGGGGCUCCGGGGACACACUGUUAGUAUUACAGUCGGAUUCUUUCGUUGUCACUGAUGUCCAAAAUGCUAUGAUUAAAAGUUAUGAUGAGCUUCAUGUUAUAUAAAUGUAUCAUAUGCUUGGAGCAAGUGUUGUGUGGUUACUAGUAUAUACAAAGUAUAUUUAUAUUCUAUAUUUGGUUGUGAUUCAGAGACUUUCUUUUAAGAGAUGCUGUAUAUGCUAUUUUAUUUAAAUUGUAAUAUGACACAGUUGGAAAUAAACAGUUUGCUUGUAUAAGGUUUUAUGCUUUCUCUUUUCAGGGCCCUCCUGGCAGUAUAGGUCCCCCUGGACAAAUUGGACCAUCAACGCCAGGUUUGCCAGGCAAGAAGGGUGUUGAGGGGAAAACUGGAAUCCCUGGACCAAAGGGCAGUCACGGUGAGGAGGGAAAGUUUGGUCUUUGCGGAAUAAAAGGAGACAUGGGCAUGAGAGGUCAAAAGGGUGCAAAAGGAGAGCCUGGGACAAGAGGCACAAUGGGGACAGUGGGGAAGGUGGGCUUCAUUGGCACUCCAGGGUCUAAAGGUCGACCUGGACCUGCUGGUCAACCCGGUCUUCCAGGAACUAAAGGAAUUCAGGGGUCAAAGGGAAAAGGAGCCCAGCCUGGAAGGAAAGGAAACAAAGGAGCUCUCGGAAAACCUGUGAGUUCACUUAAUUGA
rnacentral:lncRNA from 15 species